AACGAACGCUGGCGGCAGGCCUAACACAUGCAAGUCGAGCGGACCCUUCGGGGUUAGCGGCGGACGGGUGAGUAACGCGUGGGAAUAUGCCCUUCUCUACGGAAUAGUCCUGGGAAACUGGGGGUAAUACCGUAUACGCUCUUUGGGGGAAAGAUUUAUCGAGGAAGGAUUAGCCCGCGUUGGAUUAGGUAGUUGGUGGGGUAAUGGCCUACCAAGCCGACGAUCCAUAGCUGGUUUGAGAGGAUGAUCAGCCACACUGGGACUGAGACACGGCCCAGACUCCUACGGGAGGCAGCAGUGGGGAAUCUUAGACAAUGGGGGCAACCCUGAUCGAGCCAUGCCGCGUGAGUGAUGAAGGCCUUAGGGUUGUAAAGCUCUUUCAGCUGGGAAGAUAAUGACGGUACCAGCAGAAGAAGCCCCGGCUAACUCCGUG
rnacentral:rRNA from 1 species